UUCUCACUGCGUGUCGUCUCCUGACCAGAGA
rnacentral:piRNA from 1 species